CGCGUAGGUGGUUCGAUCAGUCGGAGGUGGAAUCCCUCGGCUCAACCGAGGACCCGCGUCCGAUACUGUCGAACUUGAGUGCAGGAGAGGAGGGCGGAAUUCCCAGUGUAGCGGUGAAAUGCGUAGAUAUUGGGAGGAACACCGGUGGCGAAGGCGGCUCUCUGGACUGUUACUGACACUGAGGCGCGAAAGCUAGGGGAGCAAACGGGAUUAGAUACCCCGGUAGUCCUAGCCGUAAACGAUGGGCACUAGGUGUGGGAGGUAUCGACCCCUUCCGUGCCGCAGCUAACGCAUUAAGUGCCCCGCCUGGGGAGUACGGCCGCAAGGUUGAA
rnacentral:rRNA from 1 species